rnacentral:rRNA from 1 species
GAUGAACGCUAGCGGAGGCUUAACACAUGCAAGUCGAGGGGCAUCACGAGGUAGCAAUACUUUGGUGGCGACCGGCGCACGGGUGAGUAACACGUAUGCAACCUUCCCUGUACAGGGGGAUAACCCGGAGAAAUUCGGACUAAUACCCCAUGAUGAUAUUUAUGGGCAUCCAUUGAUAUUUAAAGCUCUGGCGGUACAGGAUGGGCAUGCGCGACAUUAGCUAGUUGGUAAGGUAACGGCUUACCAAGGCCACGAUGUUUAGGGGACCUGAGAGGGUUGUCCCCCACACUGGUACUGAGACACGGACCAGACUCCUACGGGAGGCAGCAGUGAGGAAUAUUGGUCAAUGGGCGCAAGCCUGAACCAGCCAUCCCGCGUGAAGGAAGAAUGCGCUACGCGUUGUAAACUUCUUUUCCAGGGGGAGAAUAAUCCUGUCGUGACAGGACUUGACGGUACUCUGGGAAUAAGCAUCGGCUAACUCCGUG